UCUAAUAUGGCAGAUAAGUGCGGUGGAUUUAAGCUCCACAUAUAAAGUUCCCGCAACUUUUAUUAGAA
rnacentral:tRNA from 1 species